rnacentral:rRNA from 1 species
AUUGAACGCUGGCGGCAGGCCUAACACAUGCAAGUCGAACGAGUGGCGGACGGGUGCGUAAUGUCUGGGGAACUGCCCGAUGGAGGGGGAUAACUACUGGAAACGGUAGCUAAUACCGCAUACCAUCGGAUGUCCCCAGAUGGGAUUAGCUCGUAGGUGGGGUAACGGCUCACCUGGGCGACGAUCCCUCGCUGGUCUGAGAGGAUGACCAGCAACACUGGAACUGAGACACGGUCCAGACUCCUACGGGAGGCAGCAGUGGGGAAUAUUGCACAAUGGGCGCAAGCCUGAUGCAGCCAGGCCGCGUGUAUGAAGAAGGCCUUAGGGUUGUAAAGUACUUUCAGCGAGGAGGCGUUACGCGCAGAAGAAGCACCGGCUAACUCCGUGCCAGCAGCCGCGGUAAUAC